GCCGGGCUGUGGUGCUGCACGCCUUUAAUCCCAGCAUUUGGGAGGCAGAGGCAGGCCGAUUUCUGAGUUCAAGGCCAGCCUGGUCUACAGAGUGAGUUCCAGGACAGCCAGGGCUACACAGUUUUUCGAGACAGGGUUUCUCUGUGUAGCCCUGGCUGUCCUGGCACUCACUUUGUAGACCAGGCUGGCCUCGAACUCAGAAAUCCGCCUGCCUCUG
rnacentral:SRP_RNA from 1 species